GGGUUGUGAGGUUAAGCGACUAAGCGUACACGGUGGAUGCCCUGGCAGUCAGAGGCGAUGAAGGGCGUGCUAAUCUGCGAUAAGCGCCGGUAAGGUGAUAUGAACCGUUAUAACCGGCGAUACCCGAAUGGGGAAACCCAGUGUGACUCGUCACACUAUCAUUAACUGAAUCCAUAGGUUAAUGAGGCGAACCGGGGGAACUGAAACAUCUAAGUACCCCGAGGAAAAGAAAUCAACCGAGAUUCCCCCAGUAGCGGCGAGCGAACGGGGAGGAGCCCAGAGCCUGAAUCAGCAUGUGUGUUAGUGGAAGCGUCUGGAAAGGCGCGCGAUACAGGGUGACAGCCCCGUACACAAAAGCGCAUGUGCUGUGAGCUCGAUGAGUAGGGCGGGACACGUGGUAUCCUGUCUGAAUAUGGGGGGACCAUCCUCCAAGGCUAAAUACUCCUGACUGACCGAUAGUGAACCAGUACCGUGAGGGAAAGGCGAAAAGAACCCCGGCGAGGGGAGUGAAAAAGAACCUGAAACCGUGUACGUACAAGCAGUGGGAGCCCCACCACUAAGCCAGUGGUGAACUCCACAUACGCAUCCUUUGCUGAGGAUACGGUUAACGGAGCGAAAGCGACGUUCAACCGCAAAAGAAGCAGAGGGGGCUUAGUG
rnacentral:rRNA from 1 species